UGGCCACCAUGAGCUGCGUUGUUGGGGUUC
rnacentral:piRNA from 1 species